AAACAAACAAUUGGAAGAGUGUCUUGCGUUCCGUUCGAGAUAUAUCGAACUCCAGAAGGCGGAAAAGAAUACGAUAUGGUCCACGUUAAUAGAAUUAAAUGUACAUUAAGAAACAAACAAUUGGAAGAGUGUCUUGCCUUCCGUACGAGAUAUAUCGAACUCCUGAAGGCGGAAAGGAAUACGAUAAGGAUCUCAUUAAUAGAAAGAAAUGUCCAUUAAGAAACAAGCAAUUAGAAGAUUGUCCUGCCGUCCCUUCGAUAUAUAUCGAACUCCAGAAGGGGGUAAGAAAUACGAUAAAGUCCACGUUAAUAGAAUUGAAUGUACAUUAAGAAACAAGCAAUUAGAAGAGUGUCCUGCCAUCCGUUCGAGAUAUAUCGAACUCCAGAAGGCGGGAAGGAGUACGAUAAGGUCCACUUUAAUAAAAUUACAUGUACAUUAAGAAACAAGCAAUUGGAAGAGUGUCUUGCCUUCCGUUCGAGAUAUAUCGAACUCCAGAAGGCGGGAAGGAGUACGAUAAGGUCCACGUUAAUAGAAUUGAAUGUACAUUAAGAAACAAGCAAUUAGAAGAGUGUCCUGCCUCCCGUUCGAGAUAUGUCGAACUCCAGAAGGCGGAAAGGAAUACGAUAAGGAUCUCAUUAAUAGAAAUAAAUGUCCAUUAAGAAACAAGCAAUUAGAAGAGUGUCCUGCCUUCCCUUCGAGAUAUAUCGAACUCCAGAAGGCGGAAAGGAAUACGAUAAGGUCCACGUAAAUAGAAAUAAACGUACAUUAAGAAACAAACAAUUGGAAGAGUGUCUUGCGUUCCGUUCGAGAUAUAUCGAACUCCAGAAGGCGGUAAGGAAUACGAUAAGGUCCACGUAAAUAGAAAUAAACGUACAUUAAGAAACAAACAAUUGGAAGAGUGUCUUGCGUUCCGUUCGAGAUAUAUCGAACUCCAGAAGGCGGUAAGGAAUACGAUAAGGUCCACGUAAAUAGAAAUAAACGUACAUUAAGAAACAAACAAUUGGAAGAGUGUCUUGCGUUCCGUUCGAGAUAUAUCGAACUCCAGAAGGCGGUAAGGAAUACGAUAAGGUCCACGUAAAUAGAAAUAAACGUACAUUAAGAAACAAAGAAUUGGAAGAGUGUCUUGCGUUCCGUUCGAGAUAUAUCGAACUCCAGAAGGCGGAAAGGAAUACGAUAAGGUCCUCAUUAAUAGAAUUAAAUGUACAUUAAGAAACAAACAAUUGGAAGAGUGUCCUGCCUUCCGUUCGAGAUAUAUCGAACUCCAGAAGGCGGAAAGGAAUACGAUAAGGUCCUCAUUAAUAGAAUUAAAUGUACAUUAAGAAACAAACAAUUGGAAGAGUGUCCUGCCUACCGUUCGAGAUAUAUCGAACUCCAGAAGGCGGAAAGGAAUACGAUAAGGUCCACGUUAAUAGAAUUAAAUGUACAUUAAGAAACAAGCAAUUAGAAGAGUGUCCUGCCCUCCCUUCGAGAUAUAUCGAACUCCAGAAGGCGGAAAGGAAUACGAUAAAGAUCUCAUUAAUAGAAAUAAAUGUCCAUUAAGAAACAAACAAUUGGAAGAGUGUCUUGCCUUCCGUUCGAGAUAUAUCGAACUCCAGAAGGCGGAAAGGAAUACGAUAAGGUCCUCAUUAAUAGAAUUAAAUGUACAUUAAGAAACAAACAAUUGGAAGAGUGUCUUGCCUUCCGUUCGAGAUAUAUCGAACUCCAGAAGGCGGAAAGGAAUACGAUAAGGUCCUCAUUAAUAGAAUUAAAUGUACAUUAAGAAACAAACAAUUGGAAGAGUGUCCUGCCUUCCGUUCGAGAUAUAUCGAACUCCAGAAGGCGGAAAGGAAUACGAUAAGGUCCACGUUAAUAGAAUUGAAUGUACAUUCAGAAACAAGCAAUUAGAAGAGUGUCCUGCCUUCCCUACGAGAUAUAUCGAACUCCAGAAGGCGGAAAGGAAUACGAUAAGGAUCUCAUUAAUAGAAAUAAAUGUCCAUUAAGAAACAAGCAAUUAGAAGAGUGUCUUGCCUACCGUUCGAGAUAUAUCGAACUCCAGAAGGCGGAAAGGAAUACGAUAAGGUCCACGUUAAUAGAAUUAAAUGUACAUUAAGAAACAAGCAAUUAGAAGAGUGUCCUGCCCUCCCUUCGAGAUAUAUCGAACUCCAGAAGGCGGAAAGGAAUACGAUAAAGAUCUCAUUAAUAGAAAUAAAUGUCCAUUAAGAAACAAACAAUUGGAAGAGUGUCUUGCCUUCCGUUCGAGAUAUAUCGAACUCCAGAAGGCGGAAAGGAAUACGAUAAGGUCCUCAUUAAUAGAAUUAAAUGUACAUUAAGAAACAAACAAUUGGAAGAGUGUCUUGCCUUCCGUUCGAUAUAUAUCGAACUCCAGAAGGCGGAAAGGAAUACGAUAAGGAUCUCAUUUUAUAGAAAUAAAUGUCCAUUAAGAAACAAACAAUUGGAAGAGUGUCUUGCGUUCCGUUCGAGAUAUAUCGAACACCAGAAGGCGGUAAGGAAUACGAUAAGGUCCACGUUAAUAGAAUUGAAUGUACAUUAAGAAACAAGCAAUUAGAAGAGUGUUCUGCCUUCCCUUCGAGAUAUAUCGAACUCCAGAAGGCGGAAAGGAAUACGAUAAGGAUCUCAUUAAUAGAAAUAAAUGUCCAUUAAGAAACAAACAAUUGGAAGAGUGUCUUGCGUUCCGUUCGAGAUAUAUCGAACUCCAGAAGGCGGUAAGGAAUACGAUAAGGUCCACGUUAAUAGAAUUGAAUGUACAUUAAGAAACAAGCAAUUAGAAGAGUGUCCUGCCUUCCCUUCGAGAUAUAUCGAACUCCAGAAGGCGGAAAGGAAUACGAUAAGGAUCUCAUUAAUAGAAAUAAAUGUCCAUUAAGAAACAAACAAUUGGAAGAGUGUCCUGCCUUCCCUUCGAGAUAUAUCGAACUCCAGAAGGCGGAAAGGAAUACGAUAAGGAUCUCAUUAAUAGAAAUAAAUGUCCAUUAAGAAACAAGCAAUUAGAAGAUUGUCCUGCCUUCCCUUCGAGAUAUAUCGAACUCCAGAAGGCGGAAAGGAAUACGAUAAGGAUCUUAUUUUAUAGAAAUAAAUGUCCAUUAAGAAACAAACAAUUGGAAGAGUGUCUUGCCUUCCGUUCGAGAUAUAUCGAACUCCAGAAGGCGGAAAGGAAUACGAUAAGGUCCACGUUAAUAGAAAUAAACGUACAUUAAGAAACAUACAAUUGGAAGAGUGUCUUGCGUUCCGUUCGAGAUAUAUCGAACUCCAGAAGGCGGAAAGGAAUACGAUAAGGUCCUCAUUAAUAGAAUUAAAUGUACAUUAAGAAACAAACAAUUGGAAGAGUGUCCUGCCUUCCGUUCGAGAUAUAUCGAACUCCAGAAGGCGGAAAGGAAUACGA